UACGUAGGGGCCUAGCGUUGUCCGGAAUCAUUGGGCGUAAAGAGCGCGUAGGCGGCCCGGUAAGUCCGCUGUAAAAGUCAAAGGCUCAACCUUUGAAUGUCAGUGGAUACUGCCGGGCUAGAGUCCGGAAGAGGCGAGUGGAAUUCCUGGUGUAGCGGUGGAAUGCGCAGAUAUCAGGAGGAACACCAACGGCGAAGGCAGCGCGCUAGGACGGUACUGACGCUGAGGAGCGAAAGCGUGGGGAGCGAACAGG
rnacentral:rRNA from 1 species